UGUGUAUUUGUAUGUAUUGUGUCUCUUGUUGCUGCACAUCUUGAUAGCGCGUCUGCUGCUUUGUUUUGAGUUCCUGGUCUGUAAGAGAUUGUGUAAUUUGUGUCUGAGAGGUCCAAGCACCAGCAUAUAAGUUUUUCAUUUUUGAUUUUUGAAGUCACUUGCUUAUUGAAGAUCAUUGCCACUGAGCAUUGAUCAGUGACGAUGUUGCAGUAUGAGAAAACAUGUAUUAGGUAGCACCAUUUGUGGAAAUAUUCUAUGAUUGCACAGGCUUCUCUCUUGACAAUGGAUUGGUGUUUUUCUGAUUUUGAAAGUGACCUUGA